rnacentral:rRNA from 1 species
UACUCCGGGGAUAACAGGCUGAUACCGCCCAAGAGUUCACAUCGACGGCGGUGUUUGGCACCUCGAUGUCGGCUCAUCACAUCCUGGGGCUGAAGCCGGUCCCAAGGGUAUGGCUGUUCGCCAUUUAAAGUGGUACGCGAGCUGGGUUUAGAACGUCGUGAGACAGUUCGGUCCCUAUCUGCCGUGGNCGUUNGAGAUUUGAGAGGGGCUGCUCCUAGUACGAGAGGACCGGAGUGGACGAACCUCUGGUGUUCCGGUUGUCACGCCAGUGGCAUUGCCGGGUAGCUAUGUUCGGAAGAGAUAACCGCUGAAAGCAUCUAAGCGGGAAACUUGCCUCAAGAUGAGAUCUCACUGGAGCCUUGAGCCCCCUGAAGGGCCGUCGAAGACUACGACGUUGAUAGGUUGGGUGUGUAAGCGCUGUGAGGCGUUGAGCUAACCAAUACUAAUUGCCCGUGAGGCUUGACCAUAUAACACCCAAACAAUU